rnacentral:lncRNA from 1 species
AAAUGUUCGAUUAUAAAUAAGAAAAAAUUGAUCGAAAAGUAAGCCGGUGUUCAGAACGCUGGCGAGAAAAGUACAAAUCAGCGAGAAAUAAAAGAGCAAAACUUUAAUUCUAGCCCCAAGCGUGUAUGUGUACGCUCAGAUCCACCUCUUGCUCCUUCUUCCUUUUCUUAUAUAGGUGCUCCUUUGUCAUCCUAUUUAAGGUUGGUUUGCCUUAAUUGGCUUAUUGUGGCUAGGCCGAACGUUC